GAGACAGCAGCCGCCGCGGUAAUACGUAGGGUGCAAGCGUUAAUCGGAAUUACUGGGCGUAAAGCGUGCGCAGGCGGUUUGUUAAGACAGAUGUGAAAUCCCCGGGCUCAACCUGGGAACUGCAUUUGUGACUGGCAAGCUAGAGUCUGGCAGAGGGGGGUGGAAUUCCGCGUGUAGCAGUGAAAUGCGCGGAUAUGCGGAGGAACACCGAUGGCGAAGGCAGCCCCCUGGGCCGACACUGACGCUCAUGCACGAAAGCGUGGGGAGCAAACAGGAUUAGAUACCCCCGUAGUCCCUGUCUCUUAUAC
rnacentral:rRNA from 1 species